UGCGAGUGGGGCGGUAACAGGAAUUAGCUUGCUAAUUCGCUGACGAGCGGCGGACGGGUGAGUAAUGCCUGGGAAUAUGCCUUGAUGUGGGGGAUAACUAUUGGAAACGAUAGCUAAUACCGCAUAAUGUCUUCGGACCAAAGAGGGGGAUCUUCGGACCUCUCGCGUCAAGAUUAGCCCAGGUGAGAUUAGCUAGUUGGUGGGGUAAGAGCUCACCAAGGCGACGAUCUCUAGCUGGUCUGAGAGGAUGAUCAGCCACACUGGAACUGAGACACGGUCCAGACUCCUACGGGAGGCAGCAGUGGGGAAUAUUGCACAAUGGGCGAAAGCCUGAUGCAGCCAUGCCGCGUGUAUGAAGAAGGCCUUCGGGUUGUAAAGUACUUUCAGUCGUGAGGAAGGGUGUGUAGUUAAUAGCUGCACAUCUUGACGUUAGCGACAGAAGAAGCACCGGCUAACUCCGUGCCAGCAGCCGCGGUAAUAC
rnacentral:rRNA from 1 species